GUCUAAUUAUAUCAAAAUUAUCUUCAACACCAACAUAUGUAUUUAUCUGAUGAUAGGUCCCCAACCCAGAUUCCCUAAUGCUAAAUUUGGGAACACAAGUAAAAUAACCAUAUUAAUUUGAAACUUGAGUACCAUGGAUACAGAGAGUGAUUAUAGCCUUGCUAGUCUGCUAAUAAUUUUUGUUGCAAUAAUCUGUGGCAUCUCUCCCGGAAGAUUUCUCAGAUUCAUCAGUGCAGAUCAAAGUUCACUCUCUUAUCAAAAUGCUGGCUGCGAUGCCUGCGAAAGGUGUGUUUGCCCUUCUGUUUUCAUGAGAGAAGUCCCACCUUCAUUUCUUAAUGAGUGUCCCUUUGUUUUUCUUCUUCCCGCCUCCACACAAUAAACUUGUUGACUUAGGAAAAUACUCUGCUGCAUAGGAUGAAAUAAAAACAUCUAAAUGUGUGGUUAGGCAAGCUUAUUUUUAAACUCGACAUUUGGUGCAACACUCUGUGUGUGUUAGGCAAUAAUUAAAGUUAUGAUAAAGCUAAUUGAAAUGGAACUACUUAGUUGGCUAUUUCUGUAGUUCAAGGUUUUUUGAGUGGUAAAAAUAUAUAUCUUUCAGUGGUUUGAGUACAGUUGUUUGGUCAAAUAUAGUAUUUGUGUGUGUGUGUGUGUGUGUGUGUGUGUGAAGAAUCACUAGAAAUUUAUUUCCAAAGAACAAAAUACAGACUUGUGUGUAUGUGUGUGGGUGUUUUAUGUGUUUUCUGGGAGA
rnacentral:lncRNA from 1 species